AUGCUUUCACAACUUGACUUCAAAAUAUUUGGUUUGGAGACCAUCAAAGAUCAAUAUGUGCAUGAUGCUGAUUUUAAAGAUGUAAUGCAGAAUUGUAAAGAAGGAAGAAUGUGGAACAAGUUUGUUGUUAACGAUGGAUUUGUGUUUCAUGCUAACAAGCUAUGCAUUCCAGCUAGCUCCGUUCGUCUUUUGUUGUUGCAGGAGGCGCAUGGAGGAGGAUUAAUGGGACACUUUGGCGUGAAGAAGACGGAGGACGUACUUGCUACACAUUUCUUUUGGCCAAAGAUGAGACGGGAUGUUGAGCGUUUUAUUGCUCGCUGCACUACAUGUCAAAAAGCUAAGUCACGACUCAAUCCUCAUGGUUUAUAUAGGCCUUUGCCUGUACCUAGUGUUCCUUGGGAGGAUAUAUCUAUGGACUUUGUUUUAGGUUUACCUCGAACAAAGAAGGGGAGGGAUAGCAUAUUUGUUGCCGUGGAUAGAUUCUCGAAAAUGGCACACUUUAUACCAUGUCAUAAAAGCGAUGAUGCUGUUAAUGUUGCUGAUUUGUUCUUUCGUGAAAUUAUUCGCUUGCAUGGUGUGCCAAAUACUAUUGUUUCAGAUCGUGAUACUAAAUUUCUUAGCCACUUUUGGAGAUGUUUAUGGGCUAAGUUGGGGACUAAACUGCUUUUUAGUACUACUUGUCACCCCCAAACUGAUGGACAAACUGAAGUAGUCAAUAGAACGUUGUCUACUAUGCUUAGGGUUGUUUUGAAGAAUAAUAAGAAAAUGUGGGAGGAAUGCUUGCCUCAUAUUGAAUUUGCUUAUAAUCGUUCAUUGCAUUCUACUACUAAGAUGUGCCCUUUUGAAGUUGUGUAUGGUUUCCUACCUCGUGCACCUACUGAUUUGUUGCCUCUUCCAUCUUCGGAGAAGGUUAAUUUUGAUGCUAAACAACGUGCUGAAUUGAUUUUAAAAAUGCAUGAGUUAACUAAGGAAAACAUUGAGCGCAUGAAUGCUAAAUAUAAACUUGCCGGAGAUAAGGGUAGAAAACAUGUUGUGUUUGCACCUGGAGAUCUUGUUUGGUUACAUUUGCGUAAGGAUAGAUUUCCUGAUUUGCGCAAAUCAAAGUUAAUGCCACGUGCUGAUGGUCCCUUUAAGGUGUUAGAGAAAAUAAAUGAUAAUGCAUAUAAACUUGAGCUGCCUGCAGAUUUUGGGGUUAGUCCCACUUUUAACAUUGCAGAUUUGAAGCCUUAUUUGGGUGAGGAAGAUGAACUUCCGUCGAGGACGACUUCAUUUCAAGAAGGGGAGGAUGAUGAGGACAUCAAUACAAUUGUUACACCCACAGCCCCUAAAGCUAUACAUACUGGACCAUUACUAGAGCUCGCGCACGCCAAUUAA
rnacentral:rRNA from 1 species